GACGAACGUGGCGGCGUGCUUAACACAUGCAAGUCGAGCGGUAAGGCCCUUUCGGGGGUACGACGAGCGGCGAACGGGUGAGUAACACGUGGGUGACCUGCCCUCAGCUCUGGGAUAAGCCUGGGAAACCGGGUCUAAUACUGGAUAUGACUCCAUGACGCAUGUUGUGGGGUGGAAAGCCUUGUGCGGCUGAGGAUGGGCCCGCGGCCUAUCAGCUUGUUGGUGGGGUGAUGGCCUACCAGGGCGACGACGGGUAGCCGGCCUGAGAGGGCGACCGGCCACACUGGGACUGAGACACGGCCCAGACUCCUACGGGAGGCAGCAGUGGGGAAUCUUGCGCAAUGGGCGAAAGCCUGACGCAGCGACGCCGCGUGAGGGAUGACGGCC
rnacentral:rRNA from 1 species